rnacentral:rRNA from 1 species
UGAGGAAUAUUGGUCAAUGGGCGGGAGCCUGAACCAGCCAAGCCGCGUGAGGGAUGAAGGCCCUAUGGGUCGUAAACCUCUUUUGUCAGGGAACAAAAGCGAGUAUGUAUACUAGUCUGAGUGUACCUGAAGAAAAAGCAUCGGCUAACUCCGUGCCAGCAGCCGCGGUAAUACGGAGGAUGCGAGCGUUAUCCGGAUUUAUUGGGUUUAAAGGGUGCGUAGGCGGCGAUGCAAGUCAGCGGUAAAAUGCCCGGGGCUCAACCCCGGCGAGCCGUUGAAACUGCAGUGCUAGAGAAGGCGAGAGGUACGCGGAAUGCGCAGUGUAGCGGUGAAAUGCUUAGAUAUUGCGCAGAACUCCGAUUGCGAAGGCAGCGUACUGGCGCCUGACUGACGCUGAGGCACGAAAGUGUGGGGUAUCAAACAGGAUUAGAUACC